UUCACGUGUUACACUUAAAAAUAGUUUUAUCAUUUUUCUCUUUAUAAAUUACUCGAAAAGGAGAGUGUGAAAGAGCACACCACACAUGACAUGGGCGCACCGAGAAGUUUCCCGAUGCUCUAACAGGCCAGUCCGCCUCUAAACAAUCUCGUAUACAUUUUACAGAGCAUAAUGGGAAAGUGCUUAUUGGAAAUAGCAAUUUUUACUUUUAACCUAAUAAAAAACACCAUCAUGUCCAUACUGAUGGUAUAUUUAUGAUUGUAACUGGGAUUUUACUAAUUUAAUGCUGAUAUGCUGUACGUAUAACUUUGAAAUUUUUUCUACCCAAGGCAAUAUGCUGUUGGUUUUACUGUUAUAUCUCUACGUUCAUCUGGUGGCUCUCCCAGUUUUAGAAAAACUGUUGAUUCAUACAGGACUGGGUUCAACGUCCUCAAGAUGUCUGAUGUACCCCCCGGAUCAUAUCACAUUAUUCCUACGACAUUUCAACCGCAUUGUGAGCGUCCAUUUAUAUUCUUGAAGUAUCCUCAUCAGCCAAACUCACUCUCAGACAACUCUGAUGUUGGUUGUAUUUCAUAAUUUUAGUGAUAUUUUUGUAUUUAAAUGCAUGCAUAUGUACAUAGUGAACAUCGUGAUAGGUUCCUGCAGAAGACCAAAGUCUGUAAACACGAUAUUAUUUACAUAUGUCAUGCAAACAUA